AUGCCCCGCACGACCCCGCCCCCCUCACGCCCCGCACGCCAGGAGCGCCCCCCCGCCCCCCCCCCCGUCCCGGACGUCCCGGGCUCGAGGCCAGGAGCGCUCCCCCCGCGCGGGCUGCGGCUGGGGACGCCGGGCCCCCGGGCUCGCCCCUCGGCUCGCGCCCUUACCUUGGGCGAUGGCAAUGGACUCGAAGCGGUGCAGCUCCUUGAGCAGGCAGCUCCUCUCGGUGGAGUGCAGGCUGUAGAUGAAGUCGCGCGCGCCCUGCGCCGUGUUCAGCGCCUCCAUGGGCUCCUUCUUGGGGUGGGUGCCCAGCGCCCGGGAGCCGCCGGGGGCCGCGAGCGCCAGCAGCCCCCGCCCGCAGCAGCACCAGGAGGGCGGGCGGGGCGCGGCGGCGGCGGCGGCGGCGGCGGCGGCGGCCGGGCCCGGCCUCAGGCUGCGCGCGGUCCGGCUCCUCAGCAGCGGCAGCAGCCGGGACAUGGCGGGCUGAGGAGCGGGGACCCCCGCGGCAGUCCGGGACGGCGAUUUCUGGCCGGGCAGCGGAAGCAGCAGCGAGGCUCAGCCCGACCCCGCCCCGAUGUCCUCCUGGCUGGCGGCAGGGGCGCCGGGCACCAUGCGCUCCCCGGGCCGGCGCGGCGCUUCCCUUCCGAAAGGCUCCCGGCGGCUCGGCCCCUCCGACGAGAAAAACUUUCUGUGAGGCGGCCGGGCCCGGAGAGGGCGGGUGGGCGGUGCGGGCGGGCGCCUCCCGGCUGCGGAGGGGCGGCGCGGGCGGGCGGGCGGGCGGGCUUGGCGAGGGUUUGUCUCCGUCAGUUUGAGCUUCCAGAGGAUGAGUCAGCCUCGCGCCGCCCUCCCUCGGCGCCGCCCUCCGCUCCCGCCGGCUUUCCCACCCUCUCGCCCGCCUGCCCUCGGCGGCGCUCCGUCGGGCUCCCGCGCCCUCAAAGCCGCCGCGCGCUCAGGCCGCAGCCUCCGCCGCUACCCCUAGCGGCCGUGCGGGGCUUAGCGGGGCGG
rnacentral:lncRNA from 1 species